rnacentral:tRNA from 1 species
GGGCCUGUAGCUCAUCUGGUUAGAGCGCCACUAUGGCAUAGUGGAGGCAGUCGGUUCGAGACCGAUCAGGUCCA